UAGUAAAUGGUGUAAAGGCACUUUUCAUUUUGAUUGAAAGGGAAAGAGUGUAAUUCUCUUUUUGCUAA
rnacentral:tRNA from 1 species